AUAACGAAUCUUACCUGCCCAAUGAGACAUUAAAUGGCCGCAGUAUUCUGACUGUGCGAAGGUAGCAUAAUGAUUCGCUCUGUAAUUUAGGGCUUGUAUGAAAGGUUUGACGAAAGUAUAUCUGUCUCUUGCAAGUUUGUUAUAAUUUAACUUAUAAGUGAAAAGGCUUAUAUUUAAUUAAAAGACAAGAAGACCCUAUCGAGUUUUAUUGGUUGAUGAAAUAUAUUUAAUAUUUUUUUUUGUCUUAUUUUUGGUUGGGGCAACUGAGGAGUAUAAAAAGCCUCCUUAAUUAGUUUUAGAUUUAUUUUUUUUGAUCCAUUUUAUAAUGAUUAAUAGAGUAAAUUACCGUAGGGAUAACAGCAUAAUUUUUUUUGAGAGUUCUAAUUGAAGAAGAAGUUUAUGACCUCGAUGUUGGAUCAAAACAUCCUAUUGGUGCAGGAGUUAAUAAGGGUUGGUCUGUUCGACCAUUAAAGUUUUA
rnacentral:rRNA from 1 species